CAGAAACGUGAGCACACCUCUCCUUCUCCUGUGACCAGAAAGGAAUGAGGAAGGAAGACACUGUGAAGCUGACUGGUCAUGGAAGCCUGAAACAAACAGUGAAGAUGAUGGCU